CCGCUGUCCUCUGCUCUCAGGUGGAAGACUUCAAAAGUGGAAGCGCGACAAAGAUGAGCCAGUCUUCCUCCUCUUCUGGUGAAGUAGGAACUCUGCCUCGAAGCGGUAAUUGUAACAUGGCAGAGAUGGGAGUGGAAGAAACUGCAGCCUCUGUUGUUAGUGGUACUGGAACUAACCAGGAUGCUGCUGCAUCCCUGAUUGCUAAAGCAAUCACUCUUCUGACACCAGAUGUUAGAGCCCAAGCUGAGGAUCCAAAGAGGAAGGCUUCCUCCAAAGACCCAGGAUGGAAGUAUGGUUUUUGGCCAGAAAUAGGGAAAAAGGAUAAGAUACAGUGCAUAUUCUGUGGAAAGCAGCCACAUGGUGGGGUUUUAAGAUUCAAAAUGCAUCUUGCUGGUGGAUAUCCAGUGGUGUAGAAGCAUCUGCUAUAGUUAGGAAAGAGAUGAAUGACUACUUGAUGAAAAAUGCAAAUGCAAAGAACUUGGUUACUGAGAACUUGGAAGGGCCAGUUGCAGAGGGUGAAGAAGUUGAAAUUAUUGAAUCAAAUUCUACUGCUGUACGAACUGCAUCAAGAUCAGGGAAGGCUCCAAAGUCUGGAAGAAAGAAAACUCAAGCAUCGAAUAAAACCAACACCAAAUCAGUGGCUGCAAAGCAGUCAACAGGUACAAAUUUGCAGAAUAGGCCUUGGUAAUGAUAUUUGGUUUUGCAGCAGUUCCUCUUCUUUUCACCCUCCUCCCCUCGUCGCGGCUGCGGAGAGCUCCGGCGAGCGCCGCCCCCGCCCGAGGAGGCUACGGGAUUGCACUAGGAAAUGCGUAUCUGCGUAGGUUCCUCUUCUUCUACCGCUUCCGGAAGAUGGCCACCGCAGCUUCAGCAAGGAGAACCCUACGGCCGCGGCAUUCCUCAGGCAAGUGUUCGCCUUUUCAGCAGCGGACCUCCCCCUACGCUCCGAAAAGAUCGGGGCUGUGGCCGCGCUUCACAGGCGCGGCAUUUGUUUCGGAGGACUGCACGUCGAGAUGCGGAUGAAGACGGCAAGCGGCGAGAGUUGACUUGGGUACGCAGCACCGUCGCCUUCCAUUGUUUCAGCUUUCAGGUUACAGACGGGUUCAGGAUCAGAACAGACUGCAGACAAAGGGCUUGCGUUCAUUCCACCCAUCUAUCUGAAACUUUUUUGCAUCACCAGAACUACCAUCGGGUUCAAGAACCUUAUUGAGUGAUAAACUGAUAAUUAGCUAGAGUAGUUACGGAACACACCCAUAAACUAAAGAAUAAUAUACAUGAUGUCAUCAGAAUGAGCAAAAGGGCGGAGACUUGGAUUUCAGUAUCUAGCGAGGAAUCGUCAGCGCACUGCUGACAUCAGUUGAUUAUUUCUGACUUCAUACCCUGUGAUCUAGAUGUGUUAUUUUUUCCCCCUCCCUCAGCAAAAUAAUUUUAGAUUCCGAUUUGCGAAGCAAACAUCAUAUGUCUGAAUUCUGAUGGCGUAUAUAUAUAUUUGAAGAUCGGUUAACAUAUUAAGUCAACUGGAAGUAAGUCUUCUCAGUUACAUUUUAUUUGUACCCAGCUAUUCCAGAACUCGUAGUCAAAGGGAAACUUGUGCUCUAGUGACAUGUUUUUUGAGAAAAGAAACAGGAUGAAUUGUGUUUACAUGUAUUAUUCUUUUCAGUCUUCACAGCUUGCAUUAUAGGAUGUUUAUACAAAUAGUACGGUAUUUCACCUGAACUUAAACUUUGUUCAUUGAUCGUAGAGACGAGUCUCUGAUGAGCCUAAUGAAUUCGUCUCACUUGCUGUUUUCAGAUUUGUGAAUAGAACGUUACAGAAUCAAGCUAGCAUGCGCCAGCGUCUCCAAGCCAGUGGCCUUGAGUCGUGGCACUAUGAUUGUUGCAUGGAUGGAGUCCAGGAGACGUCAUUGGAGCCAGUUGCUAGUAUUUGUAUGCAUCCUCCAUAUCUGCCUCUGUAUUUCACAUCAAAGCUGUGCAUAUUUUCCCCCCUUUAUUUCACUAUUGAGGCAGCAUCAUUUACUUAACUAGCAUCCUAGAUAAGAACGAAGAUCAUAUUAUUCACAUAAUAUGUUACCCCAUCACGGGAGAUGACCAAGUUGCAUUCGUUCAGGAGGAAUGGCUUAAGCACCAAUAACAAACAUGGCAGGUGUUUAGUCAAACAAAACCAGAAUAUCGAUCAGCAUUUUCACUUUGAGUUGGGAUGAAUAGUUCUUAAUGCAAUUAUGUGUGGCUCUCCUUGACUCCUUAUUUGAGAAAGAAAAGGUUUGUAGGGAAGACCUACUGUUAGCUAGAGCACGUUUUCCUCUUUUUAACUUGUCUACUAGACCAUUAUCUUCAAAUCUAGUGAACUGUGAGAAACUUCAACCUUGAAAUAUUUCUAGGACAAACUUUUCUCGGGUCUUUGGUCAAUUGGUAUCCUCCAGAAAAUAAACUUAUCCUGAUCACACUAAGCCUCAAUUAAAUGCAUCAACAAGUUAAUGAUUCACUACUAAUUUGAAUAUGAUCAGAUAUAGCUGGCUAUUGCCGACCAUAUUUUCUCGCUAAUGUUGGGCAGGUGUCUUCUGUCUUCUCCUGACCUUGUUUCUCAUAUAAAUCCCCGAAAGUUGCAACAUUGCCAGCAUGGAGAGCAUCAUGCGCCUUUCACUGCUUCCAUUGUUGCUCCUUUUGCUAGUAGCCACCGAAACCACAGCAGCAAGCAGGUGUAUUGUAAAAGAAAGGAGCGUGCUACUCGACUUGAAGGCCACCUUCAAAGAUCCUCAUGGUCUACUGCAAUCAUGGAGGGGUCUAAAUUGUUGCAGCUGGUAUGGUGUAACAUGUGACAACAAGACUGGACACAUCAUCAAGCUCGACCUCCACAACAAUAACUUCAGCAAUGAGUAUGCUCUUACAGGUGACAUCAGCCCAUCAUUGGUUAAUUUGACUCACCUAGAGUACUUUGAUCUUCAUGGUAAUGAUUUUGGUGGUGCAAGUAUCCCUGAGUUCAUUGGAUCAUUAAUGAACCUUAGGCAUCUUGACUUGUCCUUUGCUGGCUUUGGUGGGAAAAUUCCCCCACGGCUUGGAAACUUGUUGAAGCUGAAUUACCUUGAUAUUAGUUUCCCUAAUGGAACCUUUAUUGUUCGUUCCAAUAGCUCUGUUGACAACCUUCUUUGGCUGUCUCGGCUUUCUUCACUGGCUUUUCUUGACAUGUCAUGGUGGAACCUUUCUGCUGCUUCAGACUGGCUCGAGUCACUAAACAUGCUUACCUCCAUUCAGGAGCUUCGUUUGAUUAAUACUAGUAUUCCUCCCAUUGAACUCAAUUCUCUAUCCCAGCCCAAGUUCACAGUUCUUAAUAAAAUUGACCUGUCAGACAACAACCUCAACUCUACCUUCCCAUAUUGGUUAACCAGCAAACAAACUGUGUCAUAUAUUAGCUUGGGUCGCUGUGGACUUCAUGGAUCAAUUCCUGAAGCUGUGGGGAAUUUAACUGCCCUAACUGAGCUCCUUUUGUACCAGAACAGUCUGGAAGGAGCAAUUCCAGUAUCGAUUGGUAGAUUGUGCAACUUGCAGGUGCUGGAUUUGUCCAACAACAAUCUUGCUGGUGAUAUUGAUAAUCUGGGGAAGGCCACGGACGGAUGCUUGAAUCAACUAUAUUUGAUGAACUUGAGGAAUAAUAAUCUAUCUGGAAGUAUACCUGGAUGGCUCGGAUCCUUAAAAGAACUCUUCUCAGUUGACCUAAGCAAUAAUUCGCUGUCAGGUCCUGUUCCUUCCAAUAUUGGUCAGCUCAAAAGAUUAGAUAAACUGGACAUUUCUUACAAUUUUCUCCAAGGAGUCUUGUCUGAAGAGCACCUAGCCAAUCUAUCCGAGCUGUCUACCCUUGUUCUAUCGUCUAACUCUUUGAAGAUUUCUGUUGGCACAAACUGGCUUCCACCAUUUCAGCUGUUUGAACUUAGUUUACAUUCCUGCCCACUAGAGUUGCAGCUCCCACAGUGGCUUCGGACUCAGACCAAGUUGCACACUUUAGAUUUGCACGACACAGGAACUAUAGGCCCUUUGCCUGAUUGGCUUUGGGCUUCGUUGACAUCUCUCGUUAGAUUGGAUCUCUCCAACAACCUGCUCACAGGCACGCUACCAGCCACUCUAGUGCAUAUGAAGUCACUUUAUUACUUGAAGCUGGAUUCCAACAAAUUAGAAGGUCAAGUCCCUAAUAUGCCAAGAAGUAUUAGAUUGCUGGAUCUCUCGAGAAAUUCUUUCUCUGGACCACUGCCCCACAGUUUAGGAGGCAAUGACUCACGCUUUGUUUUCUUGUCAGAGAAUAGUCUAAAUGGAAGCAUACCUUUGUACUUCUGUGAGAUGGAACUGUUAUCAAUAAUUGACCUUUCAAACAACAGAUUAUCAGGUGGACUCCCUAAUUGCUGGAAGCAUGACACAAGAUUAUUUAUGCUGGACUUCUCAAACAAUCACCUCGAGGGAGAAAUACCCUCAACCAUUGGCUCUCUUAAUUCACUUGGUUCCUUGAAUUUGAACAGGAACAAACUCUCUGGGGUGUUACCCUUCUCUCUAAGCUCAUGCAGCCGUUUAGUUUUACUUGAUCUUGGAGAGAAUCAGUUGGAGGGUUCCAUACCUGCAUGGAUAGGAGAUAAUCUGCAACUCCUCAUAAUCCUUAGACUUCGAUCAAAUCAGUUCUCUGGAAAUAUUCCUGCUGAAUUGUCACUACUCCAAGGCCUUCGAGUGUUGGAUCUUGCUAACAACAACCUUUCAGGGCCCCUGCCACAAAGUAUUGGAAACUUCACUAAGAUGGCUUCACAUCAGUCAAAAUACAGUACAUCGUCAUUCAUGACUGUCACUAAUGGUGGUUAUAUCGUGAGUAUCAAUGUUAGUCUAUACAUUACAAUGAAAGGAGAAGAAAGAAUCUAUUCUAGGAUCCUUUAUCUUAUGAAGAGCAUUGACCUUUCUGACAAUGACCUAUCAGGAGAAAUUCCUGUUGAAAUUGGAGCUCUUGUGGAACUCAAGAAUCUGAAUCUAUGAGAAAUCGCCUCAGUGGACCUAUCCCAGAGACAGUUGGCCAUAUGGGUUCAUUGGAGUCCCUUGAUCUAUCAUGGAACCAGCUUUCUGGUGCGAUUCCUCAAAGCAUGGCAUCGCUGCACCUGCUAAGCCUGUCCUACAACAAUCUUUCUGGAAAGAUACCUCCUGGUUCUCAACUUCAAACCCUUGGAGAUGAAGAUCCAUACAUAUAUGCGGGCAACAGCUACCUCUGCAGCCCUCUUGUUCCAGGACUCGGCUUCGGAAUCGGAUUCGCAGCUGUAUGGUGGCUACUUAUAUUCAGCAAGGCAGUGAGCACAGGCUACUUCCAGUCUGUUGACUCAAUAUGUAAGAAAAUCUGUGACCGGAUGAUCUACUGAAGAUAAAUAUGGACAUGAAAUUGAUGGGAGCAAACCAGAAUCCAGGUGGUUAAACUUGUUCGAACUACUGGUCAGACGUGGACUGAUGCAGUGAUACUCUUGCUUCUUAUCUGCAGAGACCAUCUGCCCUGGUUAAGCAACAUUGUGCAUUGCAUGGUCAAGAUGGAUAUGUUGAGAGUUCCACAUGUAUGAUGUGUAAUCCUUCUUUUUUAAUUCUUUUUGCAUGGAGUCUUGAACCUUUAUAUUGCCCUGUGUUGAAACAUGCUUGUUAGUGUCAUCGCAAUUGUACUGUGGAUGGCAGUGGUACUUGUUGUCACUGACGAUUUAAGCUAGAAAUUCUGAAGUCUUCUGUGCUUGAAGUUUUAGCAUUUUCCAAGGAAGAAGGAACGGAGCCUACUAUACUGUACAUAAUGUGUGUGUGCAAGGUCAUGGUUGAUUUGAACAGUGUUGUUCUAUGUGUACUGUAACUGUAAGUGUCUUUUGGCAAGAAUGGAA